rnacentral:rRNA from 1 species
GUGGGGAAUUUUGGACAAUGGGCGCAAGCCUGAUCCAGCAAUGCCGCGUGCAGGAAGAAGGCCUUCGGGUUGUAAACUGCUUUUGUACGGAACGAAACGGUCCUGGCUAAUACCCGGGGCUAAUGACGGUACCGUAAGAAUAAGCACCGGCUAACUACGUGCCAGCAGCCGCGGUAAUACGUAGGGUGCGAGCGAUAAUCGGAAUUACUGGGCGUAAAGCGUGCGCAGGCGGUGCUGUAAGACAGGCGUGAAAUCCCCGGGCUCAACCUGGGAAUUGCGCUUGUGACUGCAAGGGUGGAGUGCGGCAGAGGGGGAUGGAAUUCCGCGUGUAGCAGUGAAAUGCGUAGAUAUGCGGAGGAACACCGAUGGCGAAGGCAAUCCCCUGGGCCUGCACUGACGCUCAUGCACGAAAGCGUGGGGAGCAAACAGGAUUAGAUACCCCGGUAGUCC